rnacentral:rRNA from 1 species
GGACGUGUCGAUAGAGAAGAGGAAACACCCGGUCCCAUACCGAACCCGGCAGUUAAGCUCUUUAUCGGCGAAGGUAGUGCCAGGGGAACUUGGUGUGAGAUUAGCAAGAUGCGCCCU